rnacentral:lncRNA from 1 species
CUCCCCACAUUCAAAUUAGCAGGAUCCCCUGGGGGCUGGUUCCCAUCUAGAUUUACUUUACUCAGCAGCACACUGAGAGCCCAGACUUCCUGUCGAUUGUAGGCAUCCAGCUUCUUUCUUAUUCUAUUGUGGCUGUAGAAUGUUAGGCAAGAAUCUCAAUUCCUUCCAGCCUCAGUUUCCUCAUCCCUAAUACCGGACAACAAAAUCUCUCUGCGGGCAUGGGGAUUCAGCGUGACCAUCUGCAAAAAGCAUUUAAGGCUGUACUUGCAAGUCCAAAGGGCACAGAAAGUACUAGCCAGCAUGAUUCUCUUUUCAUCCUGCAGGAGAAGCACUGCGAGACUAGCAAUGUUCCUAUCAGUUAGGGCUCUCUUAGUCGUAAGCAGCAGAACCUGGUACAAACUGGCAAAAGCAAGAAAGAGACGGUGUUGACUGGCGUAUCUGGGCAGGUCUGAGAAAGGCUUGAAUGCAGCCGAUCCAGGGCUCACUGAUAACGUUGGGAUGACAUGAUUCCUCAGCCACAUGUGGCGACAUUCCUUCUCCCAUAACAAAAGAGGAGGAGCUAGCAAUGGGAAUGCACAGGACUGUCUGGAGAUGGAGAAAACCAAGAAAGCUUGCUUUGCUAAGAAAUUACAUGAUGAAGGAGGGAAAGAAAAGAGACACCUGUGCACCUCCUGGAGGGGCUAUGGAGUCAGGAAAGAACAAAGGCUUUAGAAGGCAGAAGCUACUUCUCCACCGCAACCAGGCUGAGGAGGCGUUGAGUGAAAAUGUGAAAAGAAGACGUCAUCAGGAGUGUCUAAGAAGAGAAAGGGAGUUGAACAAUUGUUACCGCUUCAGCCUGAGAUAAAUUUUCAGCUGAAUUGCUAAAAUAGGAGGAAUCUGGCCUUUUCCACUUUAGGAAAACAAUGUUCUGGAGAUGAAGCUUUUAAAGGAAAUGCUAUCUGAAUGCGUAUUGAAACAAGAAUAAUUAAACAGCCAUUGUUCUGGCUCAUUCCUUGCAAGUCUGAAAGGUUUCUGAAGUUGGGGCUCUAAUUAAAAGAAAAAUUUUCUUCUCAGAUGCAUCUCAGUGGUAUUUGUUCUGUUUUAUCCC